rnacentral:pre_miRNA from 1 species
AAUAAUUAUUUGCUCAGUUCACAUAAUUAUUUAUCUGUCACUGGGUGUAUGAUUAUUGU